UGAUGGCUGCUGCUGCAUUGGUGGGUUGUGAUGCUGAGGGUUUGGCUGAUGAGUUGUUGGAUGGCUUUGAAUGGAGGAUUGUGGGAGGGUUGGUGAAGGAGUUGCAGCUCAUGGCUGGUUUUUUUUUGUUUGGAUUGAGAAUUUGUGUGAAGGAAUGAAAGAAAAGGUUUGUUGUUGGUGGCAAGUUGGUUUGGAAAUGGGGUAAUUGGGACCUUAGAAU
rnacentral:lncRNA from 1 species